CUUUAAGCACCUGAUCAUUCUAAAAGCAUGUGUUCCUCUGUGUGUGUGAGUUAUGUACACGUGUGUGUGUUUUCCUUUCUUUUCUCGGACUCCAGGCUCAUGACUGCUUAUUUGCAUGGUGUUUUGGUGUCAAAGGAGCGUUGAAUGUCUUCUCCAUAUACCCAGCUUUAUUCCACUCUAGGAGUUUAACUUCUUCAACAUUGUUAUGAGGUCCCUGGUGACCUCAGUUUCUCCUCUCCGCGUCAUCCAGGACUUCAUCUGAAGCUUGAGCUACAUGUAAGACUUCAUCUACCUUGCACAGGGCAAUGGAGAGAGAUUCCUGCAAGUAGACUGACAGCCGCAUGUUUGCAGGAAAGUUAAAUAUUUUGACAGCGCAGAAGACUGCUGCAUCUGGAGGGUUCUGGGUCCAGCUAUAACCAGACUUGCCUGUCCUAAACAAAUGGAUUGACUGCUUCCGGCAUCCUCACUUUACUUCUGCACGGUGACCAACAUCCGGAGCUUAAUUACCUGACAGCCGGGAGGUAGGGGGCAAAGGAAACCUUUUAAUUUAUAGUAAGAAGUGAUCAGUUC
rnacentral:lncRNA from 1 species